rnacentral:rRNA from 1 species
UACGAAGGGGGCUAACGUUGUUCGGAAUCACUGGGCGUAAAGCGCACGCAGGCGGAUCGAUAAGUCGGGGGUGAAAGCCCGGGGCUCAACCUCGGAAUUGCCUUCGAUACUGUCGGUCUCGAGUCCGGGAGAGGUGAGUGGAAUUCCUAGGGUAGAGGUGAAAUUCGUAGAUAUUAGGAAGAACACCAGUGGCGAAGGCGGCUUACUGGCCCGGUACUGACGCUCAGGUGCGAAUGCGUGGGGAGCAAACAGG